CCUCUUCUCUCUUUAAGCCAAUUUGCUGUGGCUGAUUUAACAUGAAAAAUUAUGUAACUGGAAUUCCCAAUACUUAUUUUUUCUUUUUUUAAAUUAGAAAUUGGACCCGUGUUUUUUUGUGAUUUUAAUGAGGAGAGCCUUCAAGUCCGUUUCUAUGUAGAAUUAGUUCAACUUCUGGUUAGUUGCUGGGGAAGUAUAGGAAUGCUCAAUAAAGUGCAAUUCUUGUUCCUUUGCAUAGCAACUGUGUGAAGAAAUACUGUACAAUGUAUGGG
rnacentral:misc_RNA from 1 species